GACGAACGCUGGCGGCGUGCUUAACACAUGCAAGUCGAACGGUGAAGCUCCAGCUUGCUGGCGUGGAUCAGUGGCGAACGGGUGAGUAACACGUGAGCAACCUGCCCCAGACUCUGGAAUAAGCGCUGGAAACGGCGUCUAAUACUGGAUACGAGAUCAAGCCGCAUGGUUAUGUCUGGAAAGUUUUUCGGUUUGGGAUGGGCUCGCGGCCUAUCAGCUUGUUGGUGAGGUAAUGGCUCACCAAGGCGACGACGGGUAGCCGGCCUGAGAGGGCGACCGGCCACACUGGGACUGAGACACGGCCCAGACUCCUACGGGAGGCAGCAGUGGGGAAUAUUGCACAAUGGGCGAAAGCCUGAUGCAGCGACGCCGCGUGAGGGAUGACGGCCUUCGGGUUGUAAACCUCUUUCAGCAGGGAAGAAGCGAAAGUGACGGUACCUGCAGAAGAAGCACCGGCUAACUACGUG
rnacentral:rRNA from 1 species